UUUGAUAGCUUAUUUAUCAUGAAAACAAAAAAAAAAAUUUACCCCCUGCAAUGUAAGAGAAUUUUCAUUUACCCCCUCGUAAUAAAAAAAAUAUAACAAAAAAAUAAAAAAGAAAAUUUUAAAACAAAAAAAAAAAAAUUAAAAAAAAAAAUUAAAAGUUAAAAAUUUUAAAAAAAAUUUAAAAAAAUUUAAAUCCACGUUGAUUAAAAAAAAUUAAAUGACACAUUGACAAACC
rnacentral:lncRNA from 1 species